rnacentral:rRNA from 1 species
CGUACACUCCUGCGGGAGGCAGCAGUGGGGAAUAUUGCACAAUGGGCGCAAGCCUGAUGCAGCCAUGCCGCGUGUAUGAAGAAGGCCUUCGGGUUGUAAAGUACUUUCAGCGGGGAGGAAGGCGAUAAGGUUAAUAACCUUGUCGAUUGACGUUACCCGCAGAAGAAGCACCGGCUAACUCCGUGCCAGCAGCCGCGGUAAUACGGAGGGUGCAAGCGUUAAUCGGAAUUACUGGGCGUAAAGCGCACGCAGGCGGUCUGUCAAGUCGGAUGUGAAAUCCCCGGGCUCAACCUGGGAACUGCAUUCGAAACUGGCAGGCUAGAGUCUUGUAGAGGGGGGUAGAAUUCCAGGUUUAGCGGUGAAAUGCGUAGAGAUCUGGAGGAAUACCGGUGGCGAAGGCGGCCCCCUGGACAAAGACUGACGCUCAGGUGCGAAAGCGUGGGGAGCAAACAGGAUUAGAAACCCCGGUAGUCCCAUGAU